rnacentral:rRNA from 1 species
AUUGAACGCUGGCGGCAGGCCUAACACAUGCAAGUCGAACGAGUGGCGGACGGGUGAGUAAUGUCUGGGAAACUGCCUGAUGGAGGGGGAUAACUACUGGAAACGGUAGCUAAUACAGCAUACCAUCAGAUGUGCCCAGAUGGGAUUAGCUAGUUGGUGGGGUAACGGGUCACCAAGGCGACGAUCCCUAGCUGGUCUGAGAGGAUGAUCAGCCACACUGGAACUGAGACACGGUCCAGACUCCUACGGGAGGCAUCAGUGGGGAAUAGUGCACGAUGGGCGCAAGUCGGAGUCAGCCAGGCCGCGUGUAUGAAGAAGGCCUUCGGGUUGUAAAGUACUGUAAGCGUGGAGGCGGUACCCGCAGAAGAAGCACCGGCUAACUCCGUGCCAGCAGCCGCGGUAAUUC